CCCUUCCUAUUUUUCGCAACAAACAAAAGCAGUUGCCGGGUUCCUAGGCUGAGUGUGAUCGACAUAAAUAGGAUCCCAGAGACACCGAGUUCCUUUGUGCUUGUUUAUGGGCCUUCUGUACCAUCUGUAUACCAAAAGUCGCAGUUAUAAAGGAUUAGAGCGCCUCCCUCGUUGGAUCUGAAGCUGAAGCGGUUCCCUAGGAAAACCCAAAACCUGCUUUUUGGUAUUUUUCAAGUCCCAUAGAAUCCGAGUUUGGAUUCAGAAAUCUGAGAGCUACCCAUUUCUCAGGAUCGUGCAAGAAUUUAUGGGUCGACUCUGUUUUCUCAGGAUUCUUCUCGUUUCGUCACUUCUGGUUCUGUGUUUCUCUCACGGAUUCGGAAGAAAAGUGAUGGAGACUGUUGAGCACGAAGAUUCCGGAGUUCAAGUGGAGGUGGAGGAAACUGUAGGAGAAUCAAGGGAGAUGGUAGAGGUGAUGGAUUAUAAGGAUCCUGGGCCAAACACUAACCCGAAAGGUGGGUACGUUUUUAGCCCUCCGCAAGGCUAAUAAUUCACGAGGUUAUCAACAGACAACAAAAGAAUAAAAGGAUUGCCAGUGUGUUGUUGCUUUAUAAAGCUAUGUUUGUGUAGAUGAGUCGACGGCGUUGUUGAAGAAGGAGAAAAUUGUUCAUGAAAGAUGUAAGUUGCUCGGGUGUAAUUUAGGAAAUAGGGUGUUGGGCUUGGUUGUUCAUCUUGAUGUUCUUGGAAAUUUGAAUUCUCUUUGUUCACCCUUGUCUUCAAGCUGUGUGUAAUAAAACAAUAUGCCGAUGCUUUUCCUUCCU